rnacentral:sRNA from 1 species
GUAUAGCCCCGAUGGUAGCGGCAUCCUUUUUUGAGCGAGGCGGCGGAGCGCAGUGGAGCCGCCCGAGCGAUAAAAAGAUACAGCGGACAGCGGGUUAUAAU